rnacentral:rRNA from 1 species
UACGUAGGGUGCAAGCGUUGUCCGGAAUUAUUGGGCGUAAAGAGCUCGUAGGCGGUUUGUCGCGUCUGCUGUGAAAACUCGGGGCUUAACCCCGGGCCUGCAGUGGGUACGGGCAGACUAAAGUGCGGUAGGGGAGACUGGAAUUCCUGGUGUAGCGGUGAAAUGCGCAGAUAUCAGGAGGAACACCGGUGGCGAAGGCAGGUCUCUGGGCAUUAACUGACGCUGAGGAGCGAAAGCAUGGGGAGCGAACAGG